ensembl:lincRNA
ACUGAUAUUUUACACUUGGUUAUUACAAACUAUUGUCCAUAUAAUUCUUUAAUCUCUGUUUCCUUAGAUUUUCUGCUUGCUGAACCUCUCAAAUACUGAAGGGAAGUUUCCUGGCGGUCUCUCGUCAUAUGCUGUUUACUAAAGGAAUAGUUUCCAAUCUGCUGUAGGAAGUACUAUGCUAUCCAUUUGUUCCAGGACCUUAUCCUCUGCAGAUUACCUAAGGAGAUGAUGAGGAGGAGAUGGCAAGAGGAGUAAGAUGAAGAAGGGCUAUAUGUUUACAUAUAUGUAGUAUAAACACAAAUAUAUAAAC